CUCCGUUGGAUUACCGCACACUGUCGACGCAGCAUUCACCUAACGCGUAAGCUGGAGCUCUGAAACGAGACGGAACAAAGUGGAAGAACACACUGUGGCCCACACCCCAUGGGACUCUCACAGACACACAGCUUAGGCAAGUAGCUACAGGUGGUUCCUGCACUGUGCCAGCGAAUGGUUCUGCGAACGAUUCCAGCACGCCAAGAACUUCUCCGCUGAGUUCUCGCGCGCGGCGAACAGCGGCGGAAAAGAACCAAUGGUUCUGGUUGAACGGGUUUUCCGGCGGUAAAAGGCUAGAUGAAGCAAUUUCCUUUCGAGGUGAUUCGUUCCCGUGGUCGUGGAGAAGAAGGCAGUAACAUCACCACCCGCUGGCAGUGCGGUGUUGAAAAUGUGAAUUAUAGGGCAAUAAAUCAGUCAUUGCUCUGGUGCCGUGGAGCUUAGCGAAGAGCGCAACAGCAGCAGCAGCAAAAGCGAGAUUCGUGCGUAAUUCGAGGCACCCUGUACGUAAGCCUCUAGGCUUGAUUAGUGGAGUUGAUGGUUCAGUAUGCAAAUUGAUCUCUAUUGAAGCACUUUGCAAACUAUUUGCUAAUAGAAUUCUGCAUCUGUUUCGACGAUUCUAGCUAGCACAGACGUAUUAUAACAGUUGCAUUGCAGUCAGUGCUUUGUUUGUUUAUUGUAAUUAGAGUUGUCGAUGGCGUAUGCUACAACCGGAUGACCUCGCGUCCCUCGCAGUGAAUAAACCAUGGGAAUGAAUUUUCCAAUGCUUAUCGGGGAAUGAAUAUCAAACAGAAUGCCAAUCCGAAUACCAAUC